GUCGAACGAUGAACCACUUCGGUGGGGAUUAGUGGCGAACGGGUGAGUAACACGUGGGCAAUCUGCCCUGCACUCUGGGACAAGCCCUGGAAACGGGGUCUAAUACCGGAUACUGAACCUUGCAGGCAUCUGUGAGGGUCGAAAGCUCCGGCGGUGCAGGAUGAGCCCGCGGCCUAUCAGCUAGUUGGUGAGGUAAUGGCUCACCAAGGCGACGACGGGUAGCCGGCCUGAGAGGGCGACCGGCCACACUGGGACUGAGACACGGCCCAGACUCCUACGGGAGGCAGCAGUGGGGAAUAUUGCACAAUGGGCGAAAGCCUGAUGCAGCGACGCCGCGUGAGGGAUGACGGCCUUCGGGUUGUAAACCUCUUUCAGCAGGGAAGAAGCGAAAGUGACGGUACCUGCAGAAGAAGCGCCGGCUAACUACGUGCCAGCAGCCGCGGUAAUACGUAGGGCGCAAGCGUUGUCCGGAAUUAUUGGGCGUAAAGAGCUCGUAGGCGGCUUGUCGCGUCGGUUGUGAAAGCCCGGGGCUUAACCCCGGGUCUGCAGUCGAUACGGGCAGGCUAGAGUUCGGUAGGGGAGAUCGGAAUUCCUGGUGUAGCGGUGAAAUGCGCAGAUAUCAGGAGGAACACCGGUGGCGAAGGCGGAUCUCUGGGCCGAUACUGACGCUGAGGAGCGAAAGCGUGGGGAGCGAACAGGAUUAGAUACCCUGGUAGUCCACGCCGUAAACGGUGGGCACUAGGUGUGGGCAACAUUCCACGUUGUCCGUGCCGCAGCUAAC
rnacentral:rRNA from 1 species